GUCUACGGCCAUACCACCCUGAACGCGCCCGAUCUCGUCUGAUCUUGGAAGCUAAGCAGGGUUGGGCCUGGUUAGUACUUGGAUGGGAGAAAUUAAACUUGGAAGCCAUUUGUA
rnacentral:rRNA from 1 species